rnacentral:rRNA from 1 species
UGGCUCAGAACGAACGCUGGCGGCGUGCUUAACACAUGCAAGUCGAGCGAUGAAGCACCUUCGGGUGUGGAUUAGCGGCGAACGGGUGAGGAACACGUGAGGAAUCUGCCUUCCACUCUGGGAUAACUCCGGGAAACCGGGGCUAAUACCGGAUACUUUCAACUGGCGGCAUCGCCGGUUGAAGAAAGUUUUUCGGUGGAAGAUGACCUCGCGGCCUAUCAGCUUGUUGGUGAGGUAAUGGCUCACCGAGGAAACGACGGGUAGCCGGCCUGAGAGGGCGACCGGCCACACUG